UAAAAACCAUUGAAGGAAAAAGUAAUGUAAGUACAGAUAGCAAGAGAGUAGUUGUCAACGGCUGGAAGCAACUAUCUAUACGACUUAUAUGAAAGACAUUCUGGAGGAGUUAUAUCGAAAUAGAUGAGUAGAUAUAAACGUGUUGCAGGCGUUAACUGAUAAAGGUGGAUAUCAUUCAGAUAUCAACUAGGGUGGCAACGCGGGUAAAAACCCGUCCCUUAU
rnacentral:ncRNA from 1 species